rnacentral:rRNA from 1 species
GAUGAACGCUGGCGGCGUUCCUAAUACAUGCAAGUCGAGCGAACGGAUAAGGAGCUUGCUCCUUUGAAGUUAGCGGCGGACGGGUGAGUAACACGUGGGUAACCUACCUAUAAGACUGGAAUAACUUCGGGAAACCGGAGCUAAUGCCGGAUAACAUUUGGAACUGCAUGGUUCUAAAGUAAAAGAUGGUUUUGCUAUCACUUAUAGAUGGACCCGGGUCGUAUUAGCUAGUUGGUAAGGUAACGGCUUACCAAGGCAACGAUACGUAGCCGACGUGAGAGGGUGAUCGGCCACACUGGAACUGAGACACGGUCCAGACUCCUACGGGAGGCAGCAGUAGGGAAUCUUCCGCAAUGGACGAAAGUCUGACGGAGCAACGCCGCGUGAGUGAUGAAGGUUUUCGGAUCGUAAAACUCUGUUAUUAGGGAAGAACAAAUGUGUAAGUAACUGUGCACAUCUUGACGGUACCUAAUCAGAAAGCCACGGCUAACUACGUGCCAGCAGCCGCAGUAA